GGCCCGCCUCUUGCUCAUUGAAAACCAGGUAGCCAACGGCGGUUGCCCCCAAACCCCGACAAAGACGUCGC
rfam:Pseudomonas entomophila str. L48 chromosome,complete sequence.